GAGUUUCGAGUCCUCGGCUCAGGAUGACGACUGGCGGCGGUGCCUAACACAUGCAAGUCGAACGGAAUCUGUAUUGAACCUAGUGAUAUACAGGUAGUGGCGGACGGGUGAGUAACGACGUGGAUAACCUAGCCGUAUACCGGGGGAGUAACACUUAGAAAUAGGUGCUAAUACCGCAUGAGCGCACAGCUCCGCAUGGAGCGGUGUGAAAAACUCCGGUGGUAUACGAUGGAUCCGCGUCUGAUUAGCCAGUUGGCGGGGUAACGGCCCGACCAAAGCGACGAUCAGUAGCCGGCCUGAGAGGGUGAACGGCCACAUUGGGACUGAGACACGGCCCAGACUCCUACGGGAGGCAGCAGUGGGGAAUAUUGCACGAAUGGGGGAAACCCUGAUGCAGCGACGCCGCGUGAGUGAAGAAGUAUCUCGGUAUGUAAAGCUCUAUCAGCAGGAAAGAUAAUGACGGUACCUGACUAAGAAGCCCCGGCUAACUACGUG
rnacentral:rRNA from 1 species